rnacentral:tRNA from 1 species
GCCUCGGUAGCCUAGUGGUAGAGCGUCCGCUUCGAAUGCGGGAGGUCUGGGUUCGAUCCCCGGCCGCGUCA